GCAGCUAAUAAUUGCGCGUCAACUUGUGAACUGCAGGACACAUGAACAUCGACAUUUCGAACGCACAUUGCGGUCCACGGAUACAAUUCCCGGACCACGCCUGGCUGAGGGUCGUU
rnacentral:rRNA from 1 species